ACUCUUUCCCCGCGCCGAUGCUGCGCCUAUAUUCGUGAGUGCCACUCGCAAGAGCGGCUAUGGCGAUAAACGGAUUUCGGAAUAAGCCUUUCGGACCCGGGGGCGGUACCCGGCGCCUCCACCAAAGCCCUGAUUUCGCAGGGUUUUGGCGGGGGCGAAAUAGGAUCGACGAGGGUGUAAAAGUUAUCCUUUUGCUCGGCAUGGUUCCGCCGUUAUCGGGCCAAAGCAUAGUUGCCAACGACAACAAUGCUCGGGUUGCUGUCGCCGCGUAAGCGGUGCUGGUUCCCAAACCAAAGUCCUUGCGCUUAGCCGCGUAAGGCGGGGCUCGGAGGCGCCUGGCAACAGAAGCCUCCACU
rnacentral:tmRNA from 1 species